CAUACUGAACUAUUAGUUCGGUUAGGGGAAAUAACUCGUACUUCUUAAAGGGAUGUAACUCUGGUAUCAUAUCAAGGGAGGCAAAUCUAGCGGGAUUUCUAGUGUAAGAACACAUGUCGAGUUCGCACAUUAAUGAUUAUCGGAUAACGCAUGGAAAUAUUACAAGCCUUAUCUGGACUUCUUUUUGUUGUUUUUAAAGUGUUAUGUGAUUGCAUUAUUUUUGCAGUUGAUUUUCCCCGUCUGCUUUGUUUUACACUAGAAUAAGUUUUGUAACAUAAUGGGCAUGUAUAGCUUUCCAGUUGAUGUCUUUGAUGAAGAGUUGUCUUAUAUUGGCAAUCAUAUCACAUAUUUUAGUGUUUAUUUUACAUGGUUUAAUCGUAUUAUAAUGUGUAAUCUAGUAUGUUUUAUCGUUAUAUAAAAGUGC
rnacentral:lncRNA from 1 species